rnacentral:lncRNA from 1 species
GAUGAGCAAGCCACUGUGGAUCCUGAGGUUCAGCAGGUAUAGCUGAGCAGGAGCUCAUUGAAGGCAAGUUGUGCCCUUGAUCACUUACUUUUUCCUAGCCAUGUUCUUAUUACUUAUAAUGAUCUGCAUAGGGUAAUUUUGAUGGGAUUCAAUAGGUUACCCCAGUUUUGGCUAUCUUUAUACCUUGUUGCCACUGAAUAUUUUUGGGUAGUACUUGCUAUUGCUUAUUGUGGUUUUGGGUAUGGAGAUACACUAUUCAUGAUUUCAUCUUUAUUAUCUGUUUAUUAUUAUUGUUCAUGUUAAGAUCUGUUGGGGGCCUUCGUCUUCCGAAGGUCCUCAAAAACAUGAUUUAACAAUGUUUCCGGAGUUGUAAUACAUGAACAGGUACCUUCGAAUUCGAAUCAGAACCACAGUAGGAGAAGCACAAAUGAUACGAAGGUUGAUGCAGCGCCGAAGCUAGCGCAAGGGAGCUUCGACAUGACAGCAGGAAAGGAAACCGACUUAAAAGGGAAAAGGCUAUUUAGACCUCGAUGGAUCAUUAUAGGGUCAUUAGCAAAUAUAAAGAACAGUGCUCCCGUACUGUUCACGCUGACUUGGCAUUUGCUUUUGCAUCACGCUUGUACCUUUGCUGUCUAUCAAGUCGAAGGUAUCAAAUGUAAUUCAGUACUGUUUUAUUUCUCCAUGAUAAUAUAAUGAAGAUGAGUUGAUAAUGUUACAC